AUUGAACGCUGGCGGUAUGCUUAACACAUGCAAGUCGAACGGUAGCAGGCCUUCGGGUGCUGACGAGUGGCGGACGGGUGAGUAAUGCAUAGGAAUCUGCCUGUUAGUGGGGGACAACUUAGGGAAACUUAAGCUAAUACCGCAUACGCCCUACGGGGGAAAGCGGGGGACCUUUUAGGCCUCGCGCUAACAGAUGAGCCUAUGUUGGAUUAGCUAGUUGGUAGGGUAAAGGCCUACCAAGGCUGCGAGCCAUAGCUGGGCUGAGAGGAUGAUCAGCCACACUGGGACUGAGACACGGCCCAGACUCCUACGGGAGGCAGCAGUGGGGAAUAUUGGACAAUGGGCGGAAGCCUGAUCCAGCAAUAUCGCGUGUGUGAAGAAGGCCUGAGGGUUGUAAAGCACUUUCAAUAGGGAGGAAAAAGGUAGGUUUAAUACGUCUGCCCUUGACAUUACCUAUAGAAGAAGCACCGGCUAACUCCGUGCCAGCAGCCGCCGUAAGAC
rnacentral:rRNA from 1 species